CCUACGGGUGACAGCAGUGAGGAAUAUUGGUCAAUGGGCGCGAGCCUGAACCAGCCAAGUAGCGUGAAGGAUGACUGCCCUACGGGUUGUAACCUUCUUUUAUAAAGGAGUAAAGUGAGGCACGUGUGCCUUUUUGUAUGUACUUUAUGAUUCAGGAUCGGCUAACUCCGUGCCAGCAGCCGCGGUAAUACGGAGGAUCCGAGCGUUAUCCGGAUUUAUUGGGUUUAAAGGGAGCGUAGAUGGGUUGUUAAGUCAGUUGUGAAAGUUUGCGGCUCAACCGUAAAAUUGCAAUUGAUACUGGCAGUCUUGAGUGAAGUUGAGGUAGGCGGAAUUCGCGGUGUAGCGGUGAAAUGCUUAGAGAUCACGAAGAACACCGAUUGCGAAGGCAGCUUACUAAACUGCCACUGACAUUGAUGCUCGAAAGUGUGGGUAGCAAACAGGAUUAGAUACCCGGGUAGUC
rnacentral:rRNA from 1 species